UACGGAGGGGGUUAGCGUUGUUCGGAAUGACUGGGCGUAAAGCGCGCGUAGGCGGAUCAGGAAGUUGGGGGUGAAAUCCCGGGGCUCAACCCCGGAAUGGCCUUCAAAACUCCUGGUCUUGAGUUCGAGAGAGGUGAGUGGAAUUCCGAGUGUAGAGGUGAAAUUCGUAGAUAUUCGGAGGAACACCAGUGGCGAAGGCGGCUAUCUGGACGGUUUCUGACACUAAGACUCGAAAGCGUGGGGAGCAAACAGG
rnacentral:rRNA from 1 species